rnacentral:rRNA from 1 species
GAUGAACGCUGGCGGCGUGCUUAACACAUGCAAGUCGAACGGAAAGGCCGAAGCUUGCUUCGGUACUCGAGUGGCGAACGGGUGAGUAACACGUGGGUGAUCUGCCCUGUACUUCGGGAUAUGCUUGGGCAACUGGUUCUACUACCGGCUAUGUCAAUCUCUUGGAUGGGGUUGUGGAAAGCUUUUGCGGUAUGGGGUGAGCUGGCGGCCUAUCGGCUUGUUGGUGGGGUAAUGGCCUACCAAGGCGUCGCCGGGUAGCCGGCCUGAGGGGGUGAACGGCAGUAUUGGGACCGAGAUACGGCCCAGAUGGGUAAUGGAGGCAGCAGGGGGGAAGAUUGCACAAGGGGCGCAAGCCUGAUGCAGAGACGCCGCGUGGGGGAUGACGGCCUUCGGGUUGUAAACUCCUUUCGCAACCGACGAAGCUUGUUGUGACGGUAGGUUGAGAAGAAGCACCGGCUAACUACGUG